UACGGAGGGUGCAAGCGUUAUCCGGAUUCACUGGGUUUAAAGGGUGCGUAGGCGGCUUGCCAAGUCAGUGGUGAAAGCCCGCGGCUUAACCGUGGAAUUGCCAUUGAAACUGGCUGGCUCGAGUGUGAUUGAAGUGGAUGGAAUACAUCAUGUAGCGGUGAAAUGCUUAGAGAUGAUGUAGAACACCAAUUGCGAAGGCAGUUCACUAAGUCAUAACUGACGCUGAGGCACGAAAGCGUGGGGAGCAAACAGG
rnacentral:rRNA from 1 species